rnacentral:lncRNA from 1 species
CAGUGUCUGUCCGCCUAACUCCUGAAAACUACUACCUCUGGAGACUCCUCCUUGUCCACAUUCAUUCGCUUACUCGUGAGGGGUUGGAGAACAGAACUGAGACCAUGAUCCUAGCAUUGGCCUCAUGAGAGAUCAACCCCUGGUUACAUCAGCAGUUUGAAAGCCAGGCUGAAGUGGUGGUGGCUGCUGUCAGACAGUUUCCAGAUCUGGGUGGGGGACAUCCAUCUGAGUGCUUUGAUGAGAAGCUUCGAGAGCUGGCGUGUAAAAUCCCAGGAGAAAGAUAGGAUCUAGUACGCACACUUCUCUUGUGUAUGAGAGGUUAAACAGCUGCCCUCCCACAGCUCUGGGCCAGGCGAACGUGGUGGAGCCCCAGCAUCCCAGGCUCACCAGACCAGCAUCUUGUACCAAACUGUGCUCUGACCAUAGAGCAGGAAUGAAAGAAGCUAAAGCCAUCAUCAGACUCUGUGCAGCCAUGCAUUAUACGGAAGGUAAGGAGGGGGUGGGAAAUGGAAAAUGCAUAAGGAGUAGAAAUGUGG